CUCCAGGUUAGUUGGUUACAUUUCUUGAUGCCUGAUUAACAUACUAGAUAGUUUUGGAUUAGGCUAUCUUUGGUUGAACUUUUGGGUGAUGUAAAGUGUUAUAUGGCUGUGUGAUUAUUAUCCACGGUGAAUUAAAAAUAUCUUCUCUCUUAAAGGUGCAUGUUGAUGUCCGAUUCAGACGGGUCGCUGUUCUUCGUGGUCUCCCUGUCUAUAUGUUUGAGGGUCACUCUUCAGAAGAUAUGCUUUACUCUCCGCCAAGCUCUUGGACUUUGGAUCUUAAUUUGUGUUCUGAAGAUAAAUGGAGGACUUAUGGUUGUGAAACGACUUGAGGAUGAAAAAAAACCCAUCAGAGAAAUUGUCAGACUGGCUGAUGCUCUUUGCUGUGAUUUAGGCCCUGGAUAUAGGCUACCCAAACGAGUUGUCUAACAAAUUUGACUGUCCAUAAAGACUUUGUGGGUAUGCAGAAUGAGAAGUUAAGGCCCAUUACAAGUUAAUGUGUAAGGUUUAAGUCAAGUUUUUAUUUGUUUGAAAAUAUUUUACGCAUGCUUUCAAAAGUAUAUUUGUUUUUUUAUGUAAAGUUUGAGUGUUAAAUUGAAUGAUGAUGUGGACAUUGGACAUGGAUGUAUGCCAAGGAUUACAGACACCUUGCCACAUUGUAGCUAUA